GGUUUGGCCACCUCGCUAGCUCUCCUGUACACAGAGAUGGUAUGAUACGUUCCGUACUACAAUGAGGGCUCCUUCGGCCUCUGGCAAGGAAAUGCCCCCCAAACACCGUGCCUAUUGCUAUUUUUAAACGGGAGGCUGGAGAGGAAAACGCGGCCAGUAUCCUCCAAGGGAAAAGGAGGAGUGUUCUCUGCUGCUUCUGGGUCCUGACAGUCUUGAAAAGAUCCAGCUGCUGAACUGGUAAGAGGUGGACUGCUGCCUCUGCAUGUGUAGAGCACAGGAACUGACAUGGCUGCUAGGGAUCUGACUCUAGCUCUACCUCAGACUUGCUGGACACCUUGGCCAAUUCAUUUUUUUCUCUGGGCCAGGGCAUCACCCCACCUCCACAAGGAGAGGCCUUGUUAGGAACCACUGCUGUGGAACUGGUGCAGUCAUUUGGAG
rnacentral:lncRNA from 10 species